rnacentral:rRNA from 1 species
UACGGAGGGUGCAAGCGUUAUCCGGAUUUACUGGGUUUAAAGGGUGUGUAGGCGGGUCUUUAAGUCAGUGGUGAAAUCUCCGGGCUUAACCUGGAAACUGCCAUUGAUACUAUUGAUCUUGAAUUCUGUUGAGGUGAGCGGAAUAUGUCAUGUAGCGGUGAAAUGCAUAGAUAUGACAUAGAACACCAAUUGCGAAGGCAGCUCACUAAGCAGAUAUUGACGCUGAGGCACGAAAGCGUGGGGAUCAAACAGG